UCCCAGACUCCUACGGGAGGCAGCAGUAGGGAAUUUUCGGCAAUGGGGGGAACCCUGACCGAGCAACGCCGCGUGAACGAAGAAGUUAUUCGUAAUGUAAAGUUCUUUUAUCAGGGAAGAAAGAGGAAUUUGACGGUACCUGAGGAAUAAGCUCCGGCUAACUACGUGCCAGCAGCCGCGGUAAUACGUAGGUGGCAAGCGUUGUCCGGAUUUACUGGGUGUAAAGGGCGUGCAGCCGGGCUGACAAGUCAGAUGUGAAAUCCCGCGGCUCAACCGCGGAACUGCAUUUGAAACUGUCAGUCUUGAGUACCGGAGAGGUCAUCGGAAUUCCUUGUGUAGCGGUGAAAUGCGUAGAUAUAAGGAAGAACACCAGUGGCGAAGGCGGAUGACUGGACGGCAACUGACGGUGAGGCGCGAAAGCGUGGGGAGCAAACAGGAUUAGAUACCCUCGUAC
rnacentral:rRNA from 1 species